UUGCUGCUCUCUUUCUCUCCCUCUCGACAGCACACACUGCAUCCCAGCACACCACGUGGCAGCCACGAGGCAGAUCCAUACCACCGCAUCACUCAGAGCCAUGCUUGCAAUGAGAGAGCCCUGGGAGAGAGGAAGAGAAAAGCAGAACAGUUGACUUCAAAGAUAAAGCCUUCCACCGCAAUGAAGAGGAACUGGGAGAAUGUCACUAUGUUCCCACAGCCUGGAAACUGCCUGCAAGCAUGGAGAAGACAGACAAGCAUAAGAGCAAUGCCUUGGAGAGCAAACACUGCUUUGGCUUCCAAUACAAAGAGGCUACCAGCUCAUAAACCCACCUGUAGGUUAGACAUAAAGAGAAGUUCUUUACACUGAGAGUGGUGAAACACCCUAACAGGUUACAAAGGGAUGUGGUUGAGGGCCCAUCCCUGGAGGCAUUCAAGAUCAGACUUUUUGUGGCCCUGGGCAGCCUCAUUUAGUUAGAAGUGUCCCUGUUGAC